UUGUGGCCAGAUCAUGUUUGAACACAGGUUCUCAUGCCAUCACCAAAGUUAAGCAAUGCUGAGCCUGGUCAGUACCUAAAUGGGUGACUGCUUGGGAAUUCUAGGUGCU